rnacentral:rRNA from 1 species
UAAGGAAUAUUGGUCAAUGGAGGCAACUCUGAACCAGCCAUGCCGCGUGAAGGAUUAAGGCCCUCUGGGUUGUAAACUUCUUUUAUAUGGGAAGAAAUGUUCUGAUUCUUCAGAGCUUGACGGUACCAUAGGAAUAAGCACCGGCUAACUCCGUGCCAGCAGCCGCGGUAAUACGGAGGGUGCAAGCGUUAUACGGAUUCACUGGGUUUUAAGGGUGCGUAGGUGGGUUGCCAAGUCCGUGGUGAAAUCUCUGAGCUUAACUCAGAAACUGCCGUGGAUACUGGUGAUCUUGAAUAUCGUUGAGGUAAGCGGAAUAUGUCAUGUAGCGGUGAAAUGCUUAGAUAUGACAUAGAACACCGAUAGCGGAGGCAGCUUACUAAGCGAUCAUUGACGCUGAGGCACGAAAGCGUGGGGAGCAAACA